GGAUCGGCCAAGAGGAAACCGCAAACAUCAAAUGUACAGCGGCAGCUCCGAGAACAAGCUGUGCCUGGCAGCUGCAACUUGGCAGGCGGCACGGGGCAGGCAGAGGGGCAAUGAAACAACCACCGGACAAACGUACACUGAUGUUCACAGCAUGACUCACAACUCAAAAGAGCGGGAACCUCCAUCGAUGGGUGACGGAUAAACACAGUGUGGUCCAGAUGAUGGACCAAUCACUCAGCCAUGUAAGGGAGUGAGACACUGACACACGCCGCAACACAGAUGGACCUCGAGGACGUGAUGCUCAGUGAGAGAAGCCAGACGCAGAAGGCUCCGGGGGCUGACCUGGACUGGCCCUCCCUGGGACUGCCUGCUCCCCACCCCAGGCCCUGCAGAGACGACCACAUCUACUUCUUUCUUGUCCCUCUCGCUGUACUACCUGCUGGCCUCCUCACCUGGCUCCUCUCAGAUCCCCGUUGUCAGUUGAGGAAACUGACAAGCACAGCAGUCCUUAACCACUGGACUCCACUGCCACCCCCUUUUGGCUCCUGCCUGCAGGGAGCCCUCCCUGACCCACCGCCUCCCUCUCCACCCGCAUGCCCCCCCAGGAUCUGAAGUCAGCCCUGGACUGUCCAGCAAAACCCUGCCUACAGCAAGAACUUAAUCAUGGCUGAGGGGAUGGAGUCUAGAGAGGGAGGCGGGCCAGCCAUGAGGCGGAGGUUUGGAACACCGGGUUUUAUCGAAUUAGGUUGCGCUGUCCAAAGGCGCCCCUCCCCCACACAAAGCUGUUUUCCCAUCUCCCUCUGGAUCUGGGACAGCUGUGCGCUUGACCCCAACCUAAGCUCAGACGUGGGGAGGUGAUGCAGGAAGGCUUCCGAGGACAGGCCGCUCAGAUCCACCGGCCAUGCUGCGAGGGAGCCCAAGCCACGCAGGAGGCCACGUGUGGGCACCUGGCCCUCGUUCCCAGCCGAGCCAGCCUUGGUGCCAGCCCAGCCCACACCUGCAGAUGAGUCUUUCCCAGCCGAGGACCCAGGUGUCCUGGAGCAGAGAUAAGCCAAGCCCACCCGCGCCCCAUCUGAAUCGGUGACUCACAGCAUCACCGGGAAUAUCAAAAUGCCUUCGGGCCACUAGGUUUGAGCAGCUCGUCGCAAGGCAACAGAAAGCAGGGUGCGGGCGUGCAAACUAGUUUUUAUGACUUUUAUUAAAUCCUUACAAAACAAUACAAAAUACCGGCGUUGACAGUUGGUGUAAAGGAAAACUUCUGAGCUGUAUCAGUUCACCUGGUACAGUGGAGUUAAAGUGCUUGGACGUUUUUCCCCCACUUAAAAAAAAUUUGAGUUUUUUUUGUCUUUUUUACACAUCUUAACGUUGAAACACUGCUGUGCCCCCUU